GAUAAAUUUAGCCGCUAAUAUAUUUCAAACAAGAUACAAGAAAUUGCUUGUGUCGUCAUUUAAAGAGAUUGAAAAUUCUCGGAAAAAAUACACGAGGGGAGAAAUUAAGUAUCACAAAUCGGGGCAGCCCCGUUAUUCAGAUGUCCCAUUAGUCCGACACCCCAUUGGUCCGACAACCCAAUAGUCCGACGCCCCAUUAGUCCGACACCCCAUGAUAGUCCGAUACCCCAAAUAGUCUGACAUGAAAUAAUUUAAAAAAAAGAAAAAAAAUUAUUUCAAGAGAAUAAUCCCAUCAGUCAAACCUAUUCCUCCUGAUAGUCCUAAAAAUAAUAAUACAAGUAACAUAUCAUAAAGUACUUACAAUAUUUUAAUUUUGCGUGAUGUCCAGUGG
rnacentral:lncRNA from 1 species